AGUGAACGCUGGCGGUAGGCCUAACACAUGCAAGUCGAACGGCAGCACAGUAAGAGCUUGCUCUUACGGGUGGCGAGUGGCGGACGGGUGAGGAAUACAUCGGAAUCUACUUUUUCGUGGGGGAUAACGUAGGGAAACUGACGCUAAUACCGCAUACGACCUACGGGUGAAAGCAGGGGAUCUUCGGACCUUUCGCGAUUGAAUGAGCCGAUGUCGGAUUAGCUAGUUGGCGGGGUAAAGGCCCACCAAGGCGACGAUCCGUAGCUGGUCUGAGAGGAUGAUCAGCCACACUGGAACUGAGACACGGUCCAGACUCCUACGGGAGGCAGCAGUGGGGAAUAUUGGACAAUGGGCGAAAGCCUGAUCCAGCCAUACCGCGUGGGUGAAGAAGGCCUUCGGGUUGUAAAGCUCUUUUGUUGGGAAAGAAAAGCAGCAGGUUAAUACCCGGAUGUUCUGACGGUACCCAAAGAAUAAGCAACGGCUAACUUCGUG
rnacentral:rRNA from 1 species